ensembl:lncRNA
UUUGGAGGGGAGACAGGGACUGAGCACCCACUUUGUGCACGAACACUCCCAGAUCUGCACACGUGCGUGCAAACACUCGUGCGUGGUGGGGCUCCCCAUCCCCAUGCUGUUAGAAACCCGCAUUAGGCAGCUGGAGCCCUGGUGAUGGCCCUUCAGGCUACUUUUGAGGCAAUCUGUCCUGCGUGUUUCUCCAGCAGCCUCCCGAAAUUCAGACCCAACUCUUUGGCCCCUACGAGGAGAUCCCGGGCCACGCCGCCUGCCCAGGCAGCGUUUUCCUCCAGCAAUGCCGUUCCGGGGAUGCUCUGGGUGCUGCUGGAGCUGUGGGUCUCCCCACAGUGGGGUCGGGUUGUGAGAGGCCCCUCCACUCGCGACGUGUCCAGUGCCACGGGAAAUGCUGGCAUAGUCCCGCAGGAUCCUUCGGGCACAUGGAGAAAGGCAGCCGCGGCCGGAAGGAUUGCAACGGGCUCCUCCACCCACGUAGCCGGUGGAGGAAACUCCAUCUGCAGCUGGUGGGAUCCAAACGAGACAGGCUGGGAUGCGGCAGAGGGGUGAAACAAAGCGGAAGAGCUGGCCGUACGUUUCCCACAAAUCCUCCUUAUGGACCAGGAUGAUUUUAGCACGAAGCGCGGCCGUGGUAGGAGCUUCCCGUCUUGGGAGGUCUCCGGGGACAAGAAGGAGGAGAAGAGAAGCUGCUUUGGCUGAGCACCUCAUGUCGUCUGCUAGGUGUGCUCUUCCCAUCCGGCGCCUUUGCUUGCUGCUGCCUACAUCAGCGUGUUCUCAAAUUCCAUUCGGGGCACCAUAAUGCCGUGUCGUACGGCUCCUUAUCCGCCUGGGGCGUUAGGAGCGCUGUGAUUCCGUUGAAUUUGGUGGCUGGAGGACGAAGGCGUCCAGGGACCCCAAACCGGCCCCCAACCCCAAGAGAACCCCAGGCGUCCGGGUUCCCCUUCCCRGUGCCCAACCUCGUAGCAGCCAGCAGCGAAUCGCACCCCAGGAGCUCCCAGUCUGGGACUGGGGGGCACCGGUUAGUCCCCAUCCCCUAGGAACCAGCCGAGGUGGGGGGGGGCAAGUAAAGAACGUGCGGCCUUUAUUGCCCCCGUGGUGGGCUGAACUGCCCCGGAGAAAACAAAUACCCCAAGAGGGGGCAAAUAACCCAAAGCAGGGGGUAAAUACCCCCAGGGGGGCAGAAAUAACCCAAGAGGGGGAAAAUUACCUGGAGAAGGGAGCAAAUAUCCUUGGGUGGGGGGGCAAAUGCCCCCCAAAAACUGGGAAAAUACCCCAGAGCAGUGCAACAGAUGCUCCGCGGGAGGAAAUACCCCCGGGGGGGGCACAAAUACUCCAAGAGGAGGCAAAUACCCCAGUGGAGGAGGGCAGAUACCCCCGGGGGGGCAAAUACCCCCGGGGGGGGGGGGCAAGGCCCCGUAGUGUGUCUGUGAUGCCCCCCCCAGCCACAGAGGGCAGGGCAGGGUCAAGGGUCACCGGGGUCAGCCCCAGGGGGCCUGUUUGGGUGACACAGGUCACCAUAGGUCAAGGCCAUGGGUCAGGGGUCAGCCCUGGGGUCAAGAGUCACCAGAAGGCCGGGGGAAGGGGGGGUCAGGGGUUGCAGGUCACUGUCGGUGACCCUGGGGCAGGGUCGGAGGUCGCCACGGGGUCGGGGCAGAGAUUGCAGGUCACCGGGGGGUCGCACAGGGUCAGAGGUCGCUGUGGCGCAGCCCCAGGGUCGCAGGUCACCGGGGGCCGACCCCAGGGUCGCAGGUCACCACGGGUCAACGCCGGGGGCCGCCGGUCGCCGCGGGCUGCCGGGGAGCAGGGUCGGAGGUCGCCGCGGAUCACGGCCCGGGGUCGGGGGGUCGGGGGGUCGGAGGUCAGUCCCGGCGCAGGUUCUUGAGCCGCUCCUCCAGGUCGGCGUCGGCGUCGGCCAAGGCGGCUGCGGCCUCGGGCGCCCGCCCCUCCCCYGCUGCCAGCGACCCCCCCGGCGGGGGCAGCGCUGGGGGCAAAGGGCGAAGGUCAAAGGUGGGGGGGGGGCAGCAAUCCCAG